rnacentral:rRNA from 1 species
AACGAGUUAUCUGAACCUUCGGGGGACGAUAACGGCGUCGAGCGGCGGACGGGUGAGUAAUGCCUAGGAAAUUGCCCUGAUGUGGGGGAUAACCAUUGGAAACGAUGGCUAAUACCGCAUGAUGCCUACGGGCCAAAGAGGGGGACCUUCGGGCCUCUCGCGUCAGGAUAUGCCUAGGUGGGAUUAGCUAGUUGGUGAGGUAAGGGCUCACCAAGGCGACGAUCCCUAGCUGGUCUGAGAGGAUGAUCAGCCACACUGGAACUGAGACACGGUCCAGACUCCUACGGGAGGCAGCAGUGGGGAAUAUUGCACAAUGGGCGCAAGCCUGAUGCAGCCAUGCCGCGUGUGUGAAGAAGGCCUUCGGGUUGUAAAGCACUUUCAGUCGUGAGGAAGGUAGUGUAGUUAAUAGCUGCAUUAUUUGACGUUAGCGACAGAAGAAGCACCGGCUAACUCCGUGCCAGCAGCCGCGGUAAUACGGAGGGUGCGAGCGUUAAUCGGAAUUACUGGGCGUAAAGCGCAUGCAGGUGGUUUGUUAAGUCAGAUGUGAAAGCCCGGGGCUCAACCUCGGAAUAGCAUUUGAAACUGGCAGACUAGAGUACUGUAGAGGGGGGUAGAAUUUCAGGUGUAGCGGUGAAAUGCGUAGAGAUCUGAAGGAAUACCGGUGGCGAAGGCGGCCCCCUGGACAGAUACUGACACUCAGAUGCGAAAGCGUGGGGAGCAAACAGGAUUAGAUACCCUGGUAGUCCACGCCGUAAACGAUGUCUACUUGGAGGUUGUGGCCUUGAGCCGUGGCUUUCGGAGCUAACGCGUUAAGUAGACCGCCUGGGGAGUACGGUCGCAAGAUUAAAACUCAAAUGAAUUGACGGGGGCCCGCACAAGCGGUGGAGCAUGUGGUUUAAUUCGAUGCAACGCGAAGAACCUUACCUACUCUUGACAUCCAGAGAACUUUCCAGAGAUGGAUUGGUGCCUUCGGGAACUCUGAGACAGGUGCUGCAUGGCUGUCGUCAGCUCGUGUUGUGAAAUGUUGGGUUAAGUCCCGCAACGAGCGCAACCCUUAUCCUUGUUUGCCAGCGAGUAAUGUCGGGAACUCCAGGGAGACUGCCGGUGAUAAACCGGAGGAAGGUGGGGACGACGUCAAGUCAUCAUGGCCCUUACGAGUAGGGCUACACACGUGCUACAAUGGCGCAUACAGAGGGCGGCCAACUUGCGAAAGUGAGCGAAUCCCAAAAAGUGCGUCGUAGUCCGGAUUGGAGUCUGCAACUCGACUCCAUGAAGUCGGAAUCGCUAGUAAUCGUGGAUCAGAAUGCCACGGUGAAUACGUUCCCGGGCCUUGUACACACCGCCCGUCACACCAUGGGAGUGGGCUGCAAAAGAAGUAGGUAGUUUAACCUUCGGGGGGACGCUUACCACUUUGUGGUUCAUGACUGGGGUGAAGUCGUAACAA